rnacentral:rRNA from 1 species
CCUACGGGAGGCAGCAGUGAGGAAUAUUGGACAAUGGAGGCAACUCCUGAUCCAGCCAUGCCGCGUGCAGGAAGACUGCCCUAUGGGUUGUAAACUGCUUUUAUACAGGAAGAAACACUCCCUCGUGAGGGAGCUUGACGGUACUGUAAGAAUAAGGAUCGGCUAACUCCGUGCCAGCAGCCGCGGUAAUACGGAGGAUCCAAGCGUUAUCCGGAAUCAUUGGGUUUAAAGGGUCCGUAGGUGGAUAAUUAAGUCAGAGGUGAAAGUUUGCAGCUCAACUGUAAAAUUGCCUUUGAUACUGGUUAUCUUGAGUUAUUGUGAAGUAGUUAGAAUAUGUAGUGUAGCGGUGAAAUGCAUAGAUAUUACAUAGAAUACCAAUUGCGAAGGCAGAUUACUAACAAUAUACUGACACUGAUGGACGAAAGCGUGGGUAGCGAACAGGAUUAGAUACCCUGGUAG